rnacentral:rRNA from 1 species
UACGUAGGGUGCAAGCGUUAAUCGGAAUUACUGGGCGUAAAGCGUGCGCAGGCGGUUUGGUAAGACAGAUGUGAAAUCCCCGGGCUUAACCUGGGAAUUGCAUUUGUGACUGCCCGGCUAGAGUGUGUCAGAGGGGGGUAGAAUUCCACGUGUAGCAGUGAAAUGCGUAGAUAUGUGGGGGAAUACCGAUGGCGAAGGCAGCCCCUGGGAGUAACACUGACGCUCAUGCACGAAAGCGU